GACGAACGCUGGCGGCGUGCCUAAUACAUGCAAGUCGAGCGGGCUUCCGGAGGUGCUUGCACCUCCGGAAGGCCAGCGGCGGACGGGUGAGUACCACGUGGGCAACCUGCCUUUGAGGCCGGGAUAACACCGGGAAACCGGUGCUAAUACCGGAUACGUCCUCUUUCGCGCCUUCCAGAGGGGAGAAAGACGGCCUUGAAGGCCUUCGCCCAAAGAGGGGCCCGCGGCGCAUUAGCUGGUUGGUGGGGUAAGGGCCUACCAAGGCGACGAUGCGUUGCCGACCUGAGAGGGUGAUCGGCCACACUGGGACUGAGACACGGCCCAGACUCCUGCGGGAGGCAGCAGUAGGGAAUCAUCCGCAAUGGGCGAAAGCCUGACGGUGCAACGCCGCGUGAGUGAGGAAGGUUUUCGGAUCGUAAAGCUCUGUUGUGAGGGAAGAACAGCUUCCGGAGGAAAUGCCGGAGGUUUGCCGGUACCUCACCAGAAAGCCCCGGCUAACUACGUGCCAGCAGCCGCCGUAA
rnacentral:rRNA from 1 species